UUAUGAGAAUAAAAGAAAGUAAAUGAAUAACAAAAAGAUAUAAAAUCAAGACAAACAAACAAAGAGACGAAUGAAACGAGAAAACAUCUAUGUAUAUAAUAACAAUAAUAAUAAUGAUAAAAAUUGGAUUAAAUUGUUUUUAGUAAUUAUAUUACCAUUGAUUGAUUAUUAACGAUUAUGAUUACACACACUUAUAUGGUAUACUCACUUAUUAUUUUCUUGAGAGUAUAAUUGAAAAAAGAACAAAAAGAACGUUGCGUGAAAAAGAAAGAAAGAAAGAAUCAAAUAGGUAAAUAAAUAAAUGAAUGAAUAAGUAAAUAAAGUAUGAGGAUAGAAAUUUUUAUUCAAUUGUCGAUAAUUAUGCUAUAACGAAUGUCGGUGUGUAACGUUAAUUAGAGAAAGAAAGAGAGAAAGAGAGAAAAAAAGAAAAAAUAUAAAACGAAAAGAAAAUCGAAGAAACAAAAAGAAAUUCUUCGAAAAAAAUCUAUAUCCAUAUCCAAACGGACAUUCUAAUUACCUGUUCUGUAUACUCUUGGGAAUUGAUACACUAUAUGAUUAAAUAUAAGCUGUGAUUGCUUUUAAUUUUUAAUUCUUUACUCGUCAAUGGGAUGAUUUAUUUUACCUGUGAAAACCAAAAGAAAAAGUGAAAAACAGAUGAUAACUUCUACGACGAUGGCGACGACGAAGAACUUUCAAUUUCAACCAAAAAACUAUCGUCGAGUCAAGAGGAGCCUGAAAAUAUUAACAGCCGACAAUUUUUCUCCACCUACGAUGCGGAGGACGAAGAGUGAACGAAAAUAAGGUCGAGAUUUCGACGACCCAAGAGCGUUGUUCGACUCCGAAAAUCCCAGGUAAUUAUCAACAGAUUGAAACUAAGUGAGAUAACGAUCAAUUUUCAGAUCAAUUUAGUCCCCCUUGACGACCGCUUCAUGAGGCAGAUGCGACAUCGUCGAUCUAACAUAGGAUACGUUUUGGAGAGCAAUUCUCCUCUUCGCUUUAGUUCGCAUGGCUGUUCAGGGGUGAGUGUGCGCGACAGGUGUUUCGGUUGAAUUUUCUAACAAUUUUAAAUCGAUCGGCUGAAUCAAUUUCUUUAUUGUUAUCAUCGUUAUUUAUUAUUUGCACAUUACCUCGACAUUAUCGACAAAUUAUAACUCGUUACAUUUUAUUGAUAACACACUGAAACAUAUUUUUAUGCAUAUUUAUAAUCAAAUCUAUAUCAUGCGAUGAUAAUUUCAUCUCAGUAAACUAUCUGUAAAGAUAUGCUACACCAUUAAUAAUUCGUAAUUAGCUCUAGUUCAUUUGUUCAUAUUCAAUCGUAACAGUUUUUUCAAAUUCCGUUACUCAAAUUUCCAUACAAUCGCAUCACUUUCUCUUUUCUAUGGUUUUUUUUACCCCUCUUCUUUUCUUUCUUUUUUUUUAUACAAAUAAUAUUGUAAAGCACACUAAAAUCACAUGGAACAAAAAAUACUAAAAAUUAUUUGUUAAAAAUUAAUUUGAACGUAUCUUAUAAUAUUAUAUAUAUAUAUAUAAUUGUGAAUUAGUAAUGUACAAAUUAUCAUCGUUAUUAUUAUUAUUAACAUUAAUAUUAUAUCAUUGAAUGGAUGCACCGCGAAGUGUAGAUUACAUUAUUUAUAAUAUAUGUAUAUGAAUUUUUGAAGAUACUGGUGCGAUGAUUGUGUCUUCCUUUUUUUUUCUUUUAAAAAAAAAAACUUAUAUCUGAUAGUGAAAUAUGGAAGCAAAAGUUUAAAGGAAAACCAAAAAAAAAAAGAUUUUCUUUUUCAUCUACAUCGUAUCGUAACGUAUAAAUAAUAGACUAGAAAUUGAGUAUUAGAGAGCUUACAUGUAUAAGACUAAAAAUUCUGAUCACUUAAAUUACGCGUGUAAAUGUAAUAAAAAAAAAAUAAAUAAAUAAAACAAACAUUGCGUGCGAACCGAAAAAUUAAUAUCACACUACGAUUAUCGAAAGCCCAUUUUAUGUAUGUAUUUAUGUACGCAUCGGUUAUAUAGAUAAGGUGUAUCGUCGGUUAUUUUUCGUGGAUGUGAAUUCUGACUGGCGUCGACGUUAAAAUU